AUCUGGUCAGCAAACAAGCUACUAGAAGACUCAGAUUAUGGCCUUCCAGGAAAGAGAGACACUCUACAAGCAAGCUGGCGCCAGUGGAAAAAUAACCGAGAAUACCACGGAUCUAUGUUUUGUGUUGUUUGUCUGUGGUGUUUGUCUUGUUGCUAGCAUUGUUGUGUUUUAAUGA